rnacentral:rRNA from 1 species
UGGGGCGUAAGCGCGCGUAGGUGGUUUGUUAAGUUGGAUGUGAAAGCCCCCGGCUCAACCUGGGAACUGCAUCCGAAACUGGGAAGACUAGAGUACCGUAAAGGGAGGUGGAAUUCCCUGUGUAGCGGUGAAAUGCGUAGAUAUGGGAAGGAACACCAGUGGCGAAGGCGACCCCCUGGACUGAUACUGACACUGAGGUGCGAAAGCGUGGGGAGCGAACAGGAUUAGAUACCCUGGUAGUCCACGCCGUAAACGAUGUCUACUAGCCGUUGGAAUCCUUGAGAUUUUAAUGGCGCAACUAACGCCUUAAGUUGACCGGCUGGGGAGUACCGACGGCAGGAUAGAACUUAAAUGAAUUGACCGGGGCCCGCACAAGCGGUGG